rnacentral:tRNA from 1 species
GGCAGGGUAGCUCAGUGGUAGAGCAGCGGAUUCAUAAGCCGAAGGUCGGGAGUUCAACUCUCCCCCCUGCUA